UACGUAGGGGGCAAGCGUUGUCCGGAAUCAUUGGGCGUAAAGAGCGUGUAGGCGGCCCGGUAAGUCCGCUGUGAAAGUCCAGGGCUCAACCCUGGGAUGCCGGUGGAUACUGUCGGGCUCGAGUCCGGAAGAGGAGUGUGGAAUUCCUGGUGUAGCGGUGAAAUGCGCAGAUAUCAGGAGGAACACCAAUGGCGAAGGCAGGUCUCUGGGCCACUACUGACGCUGAGAAGCGAAAGCGUGGGGAGCGAACAGG
rnacentral:rRNA from 1 species